AAGCUGCAGCUGAUCAGCAUCAUGCAAGGGACUGCUGAGAUGGUAGCAUGCUGACAGGAACCAGCUACAGAAUUUGCAAGUGGAGAAUCCAGGUACCUUUAAAAGUCUAUUCAGUGAAAAUCUCUGGCUAUUGAUGUGACGGUUAAUUUUAUGUGCCAACUUGGCUAGGCCAUGGUACCCAGUUUUUCAUAAAAGAUCAGUCUAGAUGUUGUGAAGGUAUAUUUUUCAAUGUGAUUAACAUUUUAUUCAGUGGACUUCAAGUAAAGCAGAUUAUCCUCCAUAUAGUGGGUGGGCCUUCUCCAAUCAGGCCUUAAGAGCAAAGACCAUGGUUUCUCAAAGAAAGAAUUUUCCUCAAGACUGCAACAUAGAGACCUUGCCUGAGUUUCCAGCCUGAUACCCUGAAGAAUUUGGACUCAAGACUGCAAUAUCAGCUCUUUCCUGAAUUUCUAGCCUGCUGGCCUGCCCUACAGAUUUUAGAUCUCCCAGCCCAAUUGCAUGAGCUAAUUCCUUAAAAUAAAUAAAUCUCUGUGUGUGUAUGUGUGCUGUAACUAAUAUAUCCUAUUGGUCUGUUUCUCUGGAGAACCCUACCUAACACAAUUGUCUACCAUAU
rnacentral:lncRNA from 1 species